UAAAAGAACCAGCCUGAAAGAAUAUGCAGAAAUAUUUGACAAAUUUGUUCACAAGCUGGCGGGGUCUUGGAAAGGCAAGCUUAUAGAGCAAAGUGAUAUCAAGAAGGAAUUUUGAAGUAUGUCAGCAAUCUUCAAGACAAAAAGGAUCAAUUUCAAAGACAACAUGAAAGCAGCGUGACAAACUACUGGAUAUUGAACUACAUUCAUCAAGUUUUUAAAACUGACAUGUUUUCUUACAAUCUGUAAUAGCACUUGGCAACUAUGGGCUUGUUGGAACAAGAUGUCCUUAUUAUGGACCUAGAGUUUAAAGAAAACUAAAAUGUACCAGUUCCUUUGCAGUUCUCAGACAAGAUUUUCCAAAAGUGUACAUUUUCCUUUUUCAGUCAUUUUUAGAAUUUGAAAGAUCAUUUGAAGUGAUGUGUUUGUUUAUCAGAAGAUACAUUUUUUCACUAAGUUAGUUUAAUUUCAUUUUGGUUUUAUUUUAAACUUGUCAGGCAAGACUGGAUUCUGAUGUCUUCGUUAGAAAAUUUUCCCAGCUGUUGAUUGGAGUGUUGCAUUGCAAGUAAAUAGUCUUAACAAAGUCAAACACACUUUCAAAGCAGUGCAUACGCUUAAAAAAGAACUCCAAUCCGAUUAAAGCAUCUGCAUAACAUAGUUUAUUCAAAUAUUUUGACAAAUCAGAAUCUGCAGGAAAACAAACUGAGGCAAUUUACAGUUUUAAUGCAUUUGGCAAAUUACUCUACUGCAUUGUGUAAACCGAGUAACUGGAGAAACAGAAUAUGCAAUGUUCUGAAAUGAACCAAGAAAAACUUCCAAGUAGCAAAUUAUCUGGCCUGCAGACAGGGAAAGUAUUCACUGCUAUUAAUUCAACCUCUAGAAUUGGUUUCUAUGGAAACCAUCUUAAUGGUCCUUUUAACUAGCUUACACAACGUAUCAGGACCUGAGAACUUGAAAUUUUAGAAUCACAACAGUAUCAUCAAAUGUUCCGAUUCAAUGGCAAAAUCAGACUCAGAAUUGGUAGUAAAACUACACUGUAACACUUUAA